ACCCCUCGCCCAGCGGCCGCGACGCUAUGGCGCACUGGAGUACCCUGUUCCUGGCAGGGAGGAACAGGAAGAGAAGAGUGUGGCCUCCUAGAAAUCUAGCACGGAGAAAGAUUUUUCACCAUCCUGCCUGUGCUCCUGAAUACACACUCAAGCUAGAAACACAGAGCCCCGAACUUAGGACAGUGAUCUGGCCGGCCACUGCCUAGCAAGACUAUCAUCUCAGGAAACCCAGACCAUGAAGGCGAGUACCUUCUAAGAGCCAGCACUGCAGCUGAUCACCAAAUUGGCUAGCUUUUGUGCCUUUUGCACUUGCUUUAGUGCCAACAGGAUAAAACUGUCAAGGACAAAAUCUAAAUGUUUAUUUACGUGGGGAUGAGUCAGGAAGUAGACUUUAUUUUACUGGGCUCAGGGCCAACAACCUCAUUCAGUGGCCUCCAAAACUAAACACUUUGUUGAGGGAGAAGAGAAAUCGCUCCACAAGAGAUAUAGAAAGGACUGGAAUCUCCGCUUACAGAGCUGUGGACUGCCCAGAACUUACAGCAGGGUCAGCAAAUUUUUUCUGUAAAAGGUAAAAUAGUAACUUUAUGGUCUCUGUGGCAACUACUCAGCUCUGUGAUUGUAGCAUGAAAGCAACUAUAGACAAUACCUAAACAAAUGAGCGUGGCUGUGCUUCAAUCAGAUCUUACAUACAAAAGCAGGCAACAGGCCAGCUUUGGUCCACAGGCUGUAGUCUGGUGACUCCUAGUUUAGAGUACUGUUACUGGCACAUCACAGGCACACAAUAAACAUCAAGUAUAUGAUUCAAUGUACAGUGGCAAGAGAACAAACUGUCAUGCUAAAAUCAUUUCAACCUUAAAAAUAAUUCAGCUUUCCCUAUCUUUUAUUGUUACUGAUUACAGUGAUGGUAUUCAGGUGAACACUCUGCCAUUUAGAAUAUCAUUUAGCCUUAGCCUGUGCAGCUAAUGCAGCUUCUUCACACCACACAGCCAUCUUUGACAUAUUUCAACUUGUUAAUGAUUCAUGUUCGCAGCCCUUUUGGCUGAUGCUAUCACUGCAAAGCAGUGAUAUGUGUGAGUCCAUUCAUUACGGUAACAAGCUUUCCCUCAAGCUUUGUUUCUUGCAAUAUCUAUCAUUUCUAGUGUGAUCUCCUCCACUGAUUUUUAAAAAUCCAGUCAACAGUAGGAUUUUCUUGUUGAACUGUGAAGGCCUGUGCUCGGUAGGGACUUUGUGAAUCAUCCCUGCUUGGGUCCCAGAGCUACUGGAGGGCCCAUCACUGGAGUGGCUGGUGAGACCCUCCAGGGCAUGAGAGUUGCUAUGGGCCUCUGUGUGGCUUCUAGAGGCUUCCCAGGGGCACAAAGACUAUGUGACCCAGGUGGAAGCUCGGGAGGCUCACGCUGGACACAUGCUGCACACUCUGGCUCCCCUGUGGCUGCAGCUGCACCCACCUACCCAGCAUUCUCCCCACGACCUGUCCAGCCCAAGCCCACGGCACUCCCAGGGGAGCCCAGGACACCCUCAACUUUUUAGUGGAUUACUAGAGUAUCAGACCACCCAUUUAUCUCUCAGUUCCUCACUCCCACCCCUGCACCCAGCAAGUCACCAAGUCCCCCAGGUGAGUAAACUGGAGCUAACAGCAGUUGGUACUUACGGCAUAUACUGGAUUUGGCUCACUCACACGUGGUAUUCCUAUCUUCAUCUACUGUAUCUUCCUGGACUACAUAAGCUGCAAAGUUAAAAACUGCAUUUCUCAGAUUCCCUUGAGCUAGGUUCCAGACGUGAUUUAUUAUCAGUCAAUCAAACACAUUCGCAUGAGUUUUGUAUAGGGAACAAUGUUAAGUCGGAAGAAAGGCAGAAUGCAAGACACGGUUCUGGAGCCAGCAGCUUUAUUGGUAGCAUCCUGACUCAAUAGGCAGCUUUCCUGAUAAUAGCAGGAACAUCAGCCUCCUUGGUGGCCCACUCAUUGUGUGGCUCUGGAAAUCAUUCCUGGAUAUUCCACCUAGUCUGUUUCUUUAGCUUUCCCAACAACUCUGUGAGCCAUGUAACAUUCUGUAAUAAAUUUCUUUCUGC
ensembl:lncRNA LINC03006 long intergenic non-protein coding RNA 3006